ensembl:rRNA 5S_rRNA 5S ribosomal RNA
GCUUACGGCCAUACCACCCUGAACACGCCCGAUCUCGUCUGAUAUCGGAAGCUAAGCAGGGUCGGGCCUGGUCAGUACUUGGAUGGGAGACCGCCUGGGAAUACCAGGUGCUGUAAGCU